CAAAACUCCGCCUCAAAAAUAAACAAAUAAAUAAAUAAAUAAAGUAGUGUCUGCAAGAAGGAGGACUGACACAUUAUCCCCCCACUAGAUGAUUGCUCAGCAGAAAGGGGAGACUUCAGUGGAAACAAGACAGUAUAGAAUGGCCAGAAAGAGAAGGUGCAGGGAUGAUCACCUCACAUAGGUGCAGAAAAUGUCUCCUGCCUAUGUGUCUACAGGCCAAGCUGGGCUAGCAGAGGUAGAUGAACUUGGGGCAAAGGGUAAAAAGAAUGGGCUCCUGAUGCAAUGGGGUGGAGGCAGCUUGACCAGGCAUAGCCAUCUUCCCAAGAGACCCUCAGACACGCUAGCGGGAUGCUUGGGAUGAGUCCCUCCUCAGCAGGAGCCCACUGGGGCCACCACCUGUCCAUACCAAGCCUAUAGAUGACAAGCCAGGCCAGCGUAAAUGGCCAAGGCGAGAGACCAAAACUACACCACAGCCAGUCACAUAAAGAGCUAUCUGUGCUUCCUCUCCAUCCUUCCUACCCCAUUGUCAAAAAUCUGUGUAAACACAGACAGAAGGGUGCGGGAAUGAGCCUCUCCCUCCAGCCCUAAAGGCAUCAAUCAAGGCUGUGCUGGGAGGAGGUGGAGCCUGGUAGACUCUGACUUGACUAUGAGAUGAACUUUAACAUUUGAACAGUUCCAAGCUUUAACAACUGAAAUGAAUGGCUUUAAUGUCAGGAAGUGACUGAAAAGUUAGGGAAUCUGACUGAGAUAGUGUGAGGGCAGCCUGUCCCCUAGUGGGGAAGAGGCUGUUCGAUCCAGCUGAAUUGGUUCUUGGAAAAGAGCUUUUCUGUUCCUAGCUUAGGGAAAACGUCUCUCCUCUGCGUCCCUCACCACCCCAGGGAAGAUUAUCGCCUUCAGUUAAACUGGGAAAUCUGUGGCUCUGAGAUUUGGCUCUGAAAUCUCUGGCUUUAAUUCACCCAACAAAGGUCACACCUCUACCAAUGGCAGUGCCCAGACUAGAGCCUGAUCCGUCCUCCUCUGCCAGGGGAGACUGAGGCAUGGUGUGUGCCAGGCAGCCGCAUGGGGAGUCCACACUGGGAAGUGGAAGCCUGGGGAACCCUAGGUAAAGGUGGCCUGCCUGAUGCAGGAUUUACAAUGUGAGCUGGUUUUUCUCUAUCUUAGGAAGAGAAGAGGAAAACCUUCUGCUAAUGUUAUCGGUGGAGACCAUCCAGGCUCUUGACAUUUUGAACAAAGACUUGGCCAACCGGCUGGCCGCGUGGCCUAAUGGAUAAGGCGUCUGACUUCGGAUCAGAAGAUUGCAGCUCUAACUGCGGCUUCUGGCAGCUUCUGAUUCCUGCUGUUUGGAAUGCUGACUGCUGGGAUGUGCCUCCUCUGAGCCUGGACACCACGUCAUCGGCAGCCUGAACAACACAGUGAGGUGUGUCAUGGUAGGUGCGUCAGCCACCAAAUUCUGGUGAAUUCCCAGCCAAUAGCUGGCUUCAACUGCCAGAGAGUGAGCCCCCAGGACAUCCAGCCCAGUUGAGCCAUCAAAUAACUGUAGCCUGGUGCACAUCUGAAUGUAACUUCAUAAGAGAGCCCAAGGGAAGCUUACCUACUUGAGCCCAGUUUAUGCUUAGACCAUGAGAAGUAAUAAUAAAUUUUGUUUUAAGUCA